UACGUAGGGUGCGAGCGUUGUCCGGAAUUAUUGGGCGUAAAGAGCUCGUAGGCGGUGUGUCGCGUCGGCCGUGAAAACCUGGGGCUCAACUCUGGGCGUGCGGUCGAUACGGGCAUCACUAGAGUUCGGCAGGGGAGACUGGAAUUCCUGGUGUAGCGGUGAAAUGCGCAGAUAUCAGGAGGAACACCGGUGGCGAAGGCGGGUCUCUGGGCCGAUACUGACGCUGAGGAGCGAAAGCCAGGGGAGCGAACGGG
rnacentral:rRNA from 1 species